AAGUCCCGCAAGGGAUGAGUAGAGUGGCAAACGGGUGAGUAACACGUGGGUGACCUGCCUUCGAGCGGGGGAUAACGUCCCGAAAGGGACGCUAAUACCGCAUAACAUCCUGCCUUUGAAGAGGCGGUGAUCAAAGCUGGGGAUCGCAAGACCUAGCACUCGAAGAGGGGCCCGCGUCCGAUUAGCUAGUUGGUGAGGUAAUGGCUCACCAAGGCAACGAUCGGUAGCCGGCCUGAGAGGGCGGACGGCCACACUGGGACUGAGACACGGCCCAGACUCCUACGGGAGGCAGCAGUGGGGAAUUGUUCGCAAUGGGCGCAAGCCUGACGACGCAACGCCGCGUGGAGGAUGAAGAUCUUCGGGUCGUAAACUCCUUUCGAUCGAGACGAAUUCCUUCGGGGUGAACAAUCCCGGAGGUUGACGGUACCGAGAGAAGAAGCCCCGGCUAACUCCGUGCCAGCAGCCGCGGUAAUACGGGGGGGGCAAGCGUUGUUCGGAAUUACUGGGCGUAAAGGGCUCGUAGGUGGCCAACUAAGUCAGACGUGAAAUCCCUCGGCUUAACCGGGGAACUGCGUCUGAUACUGGUUGGCUUGAGUUUGGGAGAGGGAUGCGGAAUUCCAGGUGUAGCGGUGAAAUGCGUAGAUAUCUGGAGGAACACCGGUGGCGAAGGCGGCAUCCUGGACCAACACUGACGCUGAGGAGCGAAAGCCAGGGGAGCAAACGGGAUUAGAUACCCCGGUAGUCCUGGCCCUAAACGAUGAAUGCUUGGUGUGGCGGGUAUCGAUCCCUGCCGUGCCGAAGC
rnacentral:rRNA from 1 species